rnacentral:tRNA from 1 species
GCGGACGUGGCGGAACUGGUAGACGCAAGGGACUUAAAAUCCCUCGGUCCUCGACCGUACGGGUUCGAUUCCCGUCGUCCGCA